rnacentral:rRNA from 1 species
UUCACGGAGAGUUUGAUCCUGGCUCAGGACGAACGCUGGCGGCGCGCUUAACACAUGCAAGUCGAGCGAUCGGCCCGGGGCUUGCCCCGGGUACGGAGCGGCGAACGGGUGAGUAACACGUGGGUAACCUGCCCUCGGCAUCGGGAUAACUCCGGGAAACCGGUGCUAAUACCGAAUUACGUCCGCAGCCUACGGGCGGCGGACCAAAGGUAGCUUCGGCCUCCGGCCGAGGAUGGGCCCGCGGCGGAUUAGCUUGUUGGUGGGGUAAUGGCUCACCAAGGCGACGAUCCGUAGCUGGUCUGAGAGGACGAUCAGCCACACUGGGACUGAGACACGGCCCAGACUCCUACGGGAGGCAG